AGUCACUGCCUUUCUGUCUUUCCUCCUCUCUCCGCAGCCCGGGUCAACCAGCCGACGGUGGCGGAACGGCGGGCAGGUCGGCGGAGUUAGAUGGCCGCAAAGAACCCAGAGUUGAUCUCUACACCACGCCAUCACUGCCAGGGGUGAGGAAAUUCUGGCACCAGUGAUUCAGCACUGUUUUUUUCUCUCUCUUCAGUGCCUCUUUCAGUGAUAUGAAGUUAAAACCAGAUACCCAGCCGUGGGAUUGCUAGAUCAGACAGAGCCAAUUGAUGAUCAGCAGGGCCUGAAAAUGCCAAAACCCUGAAACAACUGACCUUCGAAAACUUCAACAUCCCUGAACGAAACGUCCAAACACAUUUAUCCACCAAUCAAAGACCCUUUAUAGUCUGUGCUCUGUGCAUCUCAGAAGUCUCUCUUUACCACACUGUCUAUAUACUGCAUGAGCCAUUAUAUGAAACUCCAAGGCAUCUUAUACUAUAUAUUCAACCAUGUAUCCCUAGUACCUAGUACAGUCCUGCCAUAUAGUUUGCUACUAAACAUUUGCAGAAUGAAGUAAUUAUCUUGUAUCCAGGUUCCAAGUUUUAAGGUGAUUUCUCACUAAAAAUAAAGCAUUACAGUUCGCAAGCAAUGUACUUCCUUUUUUACAAAUGAGAUCGACUUUAAUCUUAUCCCCUAAUAACAUUAUUUUCAUUUACUUCCAUCUAAAUAUACUGUCCUAAGAGAGCAAUAAGAAAGAGAGUUAAAGCUGGAGCUUGAAGAAUUGUACAUGGUCCACAGUGUGGCCUGACGUGCACUGCUCACCUGAGCUUCAUCUGUUAGGUAUGUCAGGGAAGAUAAGCAGGGCGAGAGUGACCCCAACAGAGGACUCCAGAUCUCUGGCUUCCCCAUCUGACAAGUACACUUCAGUGAACAAAGACUUCAGAGCUAGAUGACAAGAAUAGCCAAAGCAGUCCACCAGGGAAACCUGGGCCCAGUGUACAUCAAUGCAGAGCAUCAAGCACAGCAUAACAGGUGUUAUAGUUGCCUAUUCCUGUUCAGAGAUAACUGCAUCCCACACACUGUAAAAUGAGGAAAUGCAGAGAAGCAGAUGUAACUGAAGGAGACAGCAGGAGCAACAAGGAGGGACAACCAUGACCUAGGAGGGCACCAUGCCAGAGACGCCUGGACCCCAUGCUAGGCUCAGUGCCCAU
rnacentral:lncRNA from 1 species